rnacentral:lncRNA from 1 species
AAUAAUGGCCUUUAAUUUUCAAAAAUAAAUGUUUUGCACUAGUCUUACCGUUCAUUAUGCUGUUAUAAGUCUGUAACAUCCAGUAUACAACCAUAAUUUGAAAUCCAAACAAAUCCUCAAUACACCAAAACUCACACUUGAGUGUUCUACUUUAAUAUCCUAAGCAAUAUAGAAUUACAUACACGAUAACAAGAGAAAACACUCCUUUAGCCCUGCCUUAAAUUAAGAGAAGACACACAAAGUACAUGUGUUACAUUUCAAUUAUGUCAAAGGACAAUACAAAUCUGUUGGUUAGGUAUAUCUCUGUUCACAGAAUAAUACCUGAUCUACCUUCUUUCCCAAUUAUUUUAUUUUAAAACCUUAAUGUUGUUAGCGUCAGGAAAUGGAAUAAAUAGUGCCUAUUCACAAGUCAAUUACAUCCAGUUUUACAAUAUGUAAAAGACCCUUAUAAUUACCUUUUGUUGAAUUGGUAUACCACAGUCCACUGUAAAACUGAAGGAAUGAUGUGACAAUCUUCAAGAAUUUUACCUACAAAAUGAUUGUGCACACUUUGGCAAAUUCUCUUAGCUUUAAAAGUUU